rnacentral:rRNA from 1 species
UACGUAGGGUGCGAGCGUUGUCCGGAAUUAUUGGGCGUAAAGGGCUCGUAGGCGGUUUGUCGCGUCGGGAGUGAAAUCCACUGGCUUAACUGGUGGCUUGCUUUCGAUACGGGCAGACUGGAGGUAUGCAGGGGAGAACGGAAUUCCUGGUGUAGCGGUGAAAUGCGCAGAUAUCGGGAGGAACACCGGUGGCGAAGGCGGUUCUCUGGGCCUUACCUGACGCUGAGGCACGGAAAGUGUGGGGAUCAAACAGG